ACAUUGCCUGCCCCUUCCACCCCCCCAUCCCCUCUGCUCACAGGUAUAUAAGGUCGCCCCAAGACAGCUGGACAUUCACUCUUCAGCCCAUUGCCGCAGAAGUAACAACUCUCCUCUCCUCUCCCUCAAGCUCACCAACCACAACCAUGCGUACAUUCACGAUCUUCUGUCUCCUGGUGGUCAUGGCUGCCUCCUCCGCCUCGGCCCUCCCUGCCCCCAUGCCUGCCCCUGUUGGACCCCCUGCUGCCAUCGAUGCGUUCAUCCCGCCAGCUGUGAAGGCGUUCAUUCCCACCCCAGAGCAGAUCGCAGCCCUCAAUGCCCUGCACACCACCACCCCUGCACCCACCCCUGUAG